GGUCUCCAGCUGUUGUUGGACUAUAACUCCCACCAUCCUUAGCUUAGAGGAUUAGUGGUCAGGGAUGAUGGGAGUUAUAGUCCAACAACAGCUGCGGACCCA